CGGAGGGUGCAAGCGUUAUCCGGAUUUACUGGGUUUAAAGGGUGUGUAGGCGGGCCUUUAAGUCAGUGGUGAAAUCUCCGAGCUUAACUUGGAAACUGCCAUUGAUACUAUUGGUCUUGAAUUCUGUUGAGGUGGGCGGAAUAUGUCAUGUAGCGGUGAAAUGCAUAGAUAUGACAUAGAACACCAAUUGCGAAGGCAGCUCACUAAGCAGACAUUGACGCUGAGGCACGAAAGCGUGGGGAUCAAACAGGAUUAGAUACCCUGGUAGUCCACGCCCUAAACGAUGAUUACUCGACAUACGCGAUACACUGUGUGUGUCUGAGCGAAAGCAUUAAGUAAUCCACCUGGGAAGUACGAUCGCAAGAUUG
rnacentral:rRNA from 1 species